GACGAACGCUGGCGGCGUGCUUAACACAUGCAAGUCGAACGGAAAGGCCCUGCUUUUGUGGGGUGCUCGAGUGGCGAACGGGUGAGUAACACGUGAGUAACCUGCCCUUGACUUUGGGAUAACUUCAGGAAACUGGGGCUAAUACCGGAUAGGAGCUCCUGCUGCAUGGUGGGGGUUGGAAAGUUUCGGCGGUUGGGGAUGGACUCGCGGCUUAUCAGCUUGUUGGUGGGGUAGUGGCUUACCAAGGCUUUGACGGGUAGCCGGCCUGAGAGGGUGACCGGCCACAUUGGGACUGAGAUACGGCCCAGACUCCUACGGGAGGCAGCAGUGGGGAAUAUUGCCCGAUGGGCGGAAGCCUGAUGCAGCAACGCCGCGUGCGGGAUGACGGCCUUCGGGUUGUAAACCGCUUUCGCCUGUGACGAAGCGUGGGUGACGGUAAUGGGUAAAGAAGCACCGGCUAACUACGUG
rnacentral:rRNA from 1 species